UAGUCACUUCAUAUAACAAACGAAACAAUUAGCAUGUGGUCGCGUUAGCAAAUCCCGAUUGGUUCGACUCUGCAAUUGAGGCGUGAAUGCGUAACAAACCAAUUAAUAAACAAACUUACUGCCCUUGAUUGUACAUGUAUUGGAACACAAUGCUACGUGGCUACCAUAGACUAAAAUUACAAUUGUCAAAACACAUACGGCUGUAUGAUCAAUGGGACUUCUGACAUCAAGAGAAUAAUAUGCUAAGUAAAUUCCACAGAAACACAAAAUAUUGUUUUUGUUAUAAGUGCUUACCUGUGUGUGGUAUCCGAGAGCCACCCCGGGGGUGAAACCCGACACCUUGCGAGUUGCUCAGAGACGUGAAGCUGAAGAAGGCCAGAAACUGUGAUCUCACCGUCUUCUCUGUUAUCCUAGUACCAAAGUAACAAUAUAUUACCAAAUUUUACAUGUUUAUAUGAACUGCAAUGCACACAGUGCACAUGAAAGUGUAUUGCCGGCAGACAUGAGAUUUGCAGUCCGGUUACCGGCCACAAUUCGGAAUAGAGCAUUGCCAGUUCCGCCAUAACCGACCUUUUGUUCCGUUCCCAUUUCGGAACUGCAAAUGGACAAAAUUCGCCGCUGUGUGCCACAAUGCAAACACUUCCGGAAAUAACACUCAUUUUGAGUGCCUAUCCCGCCUAUUAGCGGACUAAUGUAAAUUGAUUUAUUAUCCGUCCUUUGAAUUAUUACAUACGUA